rnacentral:rRNA from 1 species
CCCUUAGAUGUUCUGGGCCGCACGCGCGCUACACUGAUACAAGCAGCAAGUCGUUUCCUAGGCCGAAAGGUCCGGGUAAUCUUGUGAAAUUGUAUCGUGAUAGGGCUUGACGAUUGUAAUUAUUUGUCACAAACGAGGAAUUCCUAGUAAGCGCAAGUCAUCAACUUGCACUGAUUACGUCCCUGCCCUUUGUACACACCGCCCGUCGCUCCUACCGAUUGAAUGUUAAGGCGAACACUCCGGAAUCGUGGCCUAGAUUGGGCAACCUUUCAUGGCCAAUGGUGAAGUUGUGUAAGCCUUGACAUUUAGAGGAAGGAAAAGUCGUAACA